rnacentral:snRNA from 1 species
GUGCUCGCUUCACCAGCACAUAUAAUAAAAAUUGAAGCGAUACAGAGAUUAGCAUGGCCCCUGAGCAAG